rnacentral:rRNA from 1 species
GAUGAACGCUGGCGGCGCGCCUAACACAUGCAAGUCGAACGAGCGAGAGAGAGCUUGCUUUCUCGAGCGAGUGGCGAACGGGUGAGUAACGCGUGAGGAACCUGCCUCAAAGAGGGGGACAACAGUUGGAAACGACUGCUAAUACCGCAUAAGCCCACGGCUCGGCAUCGAGCAGAGGGAAAAGGAGCAAUCCGCUUUGAGAUGGCCUCGCGUCCGAUUAGCUAGUUGGUGAGGUAAUGGCCCACCAAGGCGACGAUCGGUAGCCGGACUGAGAGGUUGAACGGCCACAUUGGGACUGAGACACGGCCCAGACUCCUACGGGAGGCAGCAGUGGGGAAUAUUGCACAAUGGGGGAAACCCUGAUGCAGCGACGCCGCGUGGAGGAAGAAGGUCUUCGGAUUGUAAACUCCUGUUGUUGAGGAAGAUAAUGACGGUACUCAACAAGGAAGUGACGGCUAACUACGUGCCAGCAGCCGCGGUAAAACGUAGGUCACAAGCGUUGUCCGGAAUUACUGGGUGUAAAGGGAGCGCAGGCGGGAAGACAAGUUGGAAGUGAAAUCCAUGGGCUCAACCCAUGAACUGCUUUCAAAACUGUUUUUCUUGAGUAGUGCAGAGGUAGGCGGAAUUCCCGGUGUAGCGGUGGAAUGCGUAGAUAUCGGGAGGAACACCAGUGGCGAAGGCGGCCUACUGGGCACCAACUGACGCUGAGGCUCGAAAGUGUGGGUAGCAAACAGGAUUAGAUACCCUGGUAGUCCACACUGUAAACGAUGAUUACUAGGUGUUGGAGGAUUGACCCCUUCAGUGCCGCAGUUAACACAAUAAGUAAUCCACCUGGGGAGUACGACCGCAAGGUUGAAACUCAAAGGAAUUGACGGGGGCCCGCACAAGCAGUGGAGUAUGUGGUUUAAUUCGACGCAACGCGAAGAACCUUACCAAGUCUUGACAUCCUGCGACGGUGCUGGAAACAGUACUUUCCUUCGGGACGCAGAGACAGGUGGUGCAUGGUUGUCGUCAGCUCGUGUCGUGAGAUGUUGGGUUAAGUCCCGCAACGAGCGCAACCCUUAUGGUCAGUUACUACGCAAGAGGACUCUGGCCAGACUGCCGUUGACAAAACGGAGGAAGGUGGGGAUGACGUCAAAUCAUCAUGCCCUUUAUGACUUGGGCUACACACGUACUACAAUGGCGUUAAACAAAGAGAAGCAAGACCGCGAGGUGGAGCAAAACUCAGAAACAACGUCCCAGUUCGGACUGCAGGCUGCAACUCGCCUGCACGAAGUCGGAAUUGCUAGUAAUCGCAGAUCAGCAUGCUGCGGUGAAUACGUUCCCGGGCCUUGUACACACCGCCC